rnacentral:rRNA from 1 species
CUUACGCUCAUCAGGCACCAUAAAAGGUGUUGGUUGAUAUAGACAGCAGGACGGUGGCCAUGGAAGUCGGAACCCGCUAAGGAGUGUGUAACAACUCACCUGCCGAAUCAACCAGCCCUGAAAAUGGAUGGCACUUGUGCGUAGGACCUAAACCGUGCCGUCUCGGCAAUCGGUCACUCGUAAGGACAAGGCCGAGACGAGUAGGAGGGCCGUCGGGGUGAGCGUGGAAGCCUGGGGAGUGAUCCUGGUGA